AUUGAACGCUGGCGGCAGGCCUAACACAUGCAAGUCGAGCGGAUGAAUGGAGCUUGCUCCUGGAUUCAGCGGCGGCCGGGUGAGUACUGCCUAGGAAUCUGCCUGGUCGUGGGGGAUAACGUCCGGAUACGGGCUCUAAUACCGCAUCCGUCCUGAGGGCGCAAUUGGGGGAUCUUCGGACCUCACGCUAUCAGAUGAGCCUAGGUCGGUUUCGCUAGUUGGUUGGGUAACGGCCUCCCAAGGCUACGAUCCGUAACUGGUCUGAGAGGAUGAUCAGUCACACGGGAACUGAGACACGGUCCAGACUCUGACGGGGAGCAGCAGUGGGGAAUAUUAGACGAGGGACGAAAGCCUGAUACAGCAAAGCCGGGUGUGUGAAGAAGGUCUUAGGAUGGUAAAGCAAUUUAAGUUGGGAGGAAGGGAAGUAAGUUAAUACCGGGCGGUUUUGACGGUACCAACAGAAUAAGCACCGGCUAACUUCGUG
rnacentral:rRNA from 1 species